AGAGCAGCUCAUUCUGCAGAUAACACACAGCUUGUCUGUAUUUCACUGCUCUGGAUCAGAGGACCAUGUCUGACACUAAGUUGUGAAAUAAUUAUUUUCUAUCAGGCAUGUUUUUAAUCCUCUCUUUGCCUUCGUACCAGUAGAACUCCCUUAUUAAAGUAUAGGGAACCUUUUUCAGAUAAUCCAGAUAAAAUGUAUUUCUUUAAAUUGUAUUUAUCAGGUAGUAAUGACAUUAUGUUUUUGUUGUUUUCAAAGAAAACAAGAUUUCAGUCGUUGUCCUGGGAAAUGGAGAUUCUUUGAAGAAAUCCUUAAUAAUCAACAUCUUAGGGAAAUAUUUAUUACAACUACCCAACCAAAAUGAUCUAAAAAUGUAAUUUAAAAUGCUCCACCAUGGGGCAGGUCUUCAGUGAACUGAGAAAACUGGUUGAAGAGAGACAUCAGACUCCAAAGGAGAAGGCGGGUGAGCAAAAGCCUCUCUCAGCAGCAUCUUACUAAUUUUAUAGACAAAUGUGUAGUGUUUAGUGAAGGGUGAUUAAUUUGAAAAGAUCCAAAAGGUUUUAUAGUAACUUAGAAAAACUCUUAUUUGGCCUCUUUAUUCAGGUGGCAGAAAUAGCAAAGAGCAGGAAUACUGCUGGAAGAGUUUAAAGAGGGAGACCUGUGUUUUCAAGAUGUCUGAACUCAGACAGUAAAUUAUUAUUAUAAUUAGGAAUUUUGUUCACUGAACUAAACGUAUCUCUUUACAUAUGCAAGACCUCGGUCUUUCUCCCUUUGUGACCCUUUGUAACCUGUAAUAAUAUAAACAUUACAUUUCCCAAUAAAACCAGCUUUGUUGUAAA